rnacentral:rRNA from 1 species
GGGUUGUGAGGUUAAGCGACUAAGCGUACACGGUGGAUGCCCUGGCAGUCAGAGGCGAUGAAGGACGUGCUAAUCUGCGAUAAGCGUCGGUAAGGUGAUAUGAACCGUUAUAACCGGCGAUUUCCGAAUGGGGAAACCCAGUGUGAUUCGUCACACUAUCAUUAACUGAAUCCAUAGGUUAAUGAGGCGAACCGGGGGAACUGAAACAUCUAAGUACCCCGAGGAAAAGAAAUCAACCGAGAUUCCCCCAGUAGCGGCGAGCGAACGGGGAGGAGCCCAGAGCCUGAAUCAGUGUGUGUGUUAGUGGAAGCGUCUGGAAAGGCGCGCGAUACAGGGUGACAGCCCCGUACACAAAAAUGCACAUGCUGUGAGCUCGAUGAGUAGGGCGGGACACGUGGUAUCCUGUCUGAAUAUGGGGGGACCAUCCUCCAAGGCUAAAUACUCCUGACUGACCGAUAGUGAACCAGUACCGUGAGGGAAAGGCGAAAAGAACCCCGGCGAGGGGAGUGAAAAAGAACCUGAAACCGUGUACGUACAAGCAGUGGGAGCACAGAGCAAUCUGUGUGACUGCGUACCUUUUGUAUAAUGGGUCAGCGACUUAUAUUCUGUAGCAAGGUUAACCGAAUAGGGGAGCCGAAGGGAAACCGAGUCUUAACUGGGCGUUAAGUUGCAGGGUAUAGACCCGAAACCCGGUGAUCUAGCCAUGGGCAGGUUGAAGGUUGGGUAACACUAACUGGAGGACCGAACCGACUAAUGUUGAAAAAUUAGCGGAUGACUUGUGGCUGGGGGUGAAAGGCCAAUCAAACCGGGAGAUAGCUGGUUCUCCCCGAAAGCUAUUUAGGUAGCGCCUCGUGAAUUCAUCUCCGGGGGUAGAGCACUGUUUCGGCAAGGGGGUCAUCCCGACUUACCAACCCGAUGCAAACUGCGAAUACCGGAGAAUGUUAUCACGGGAGACACACGGCGGGUGCUAACGUCCGUCGUGAAGAGGGAAACAACCCAGACCGCCAGCUAAGGUCCCAAAGUCAUGGUUAAGUGGGAAACGAUGUGGGAAGGCCCAGACAGCCAGGAUGUUGGCUUAGAAGCAGCCAUCAUUUAAAGAAAGCGUAAUAGCUCACUGGUCGAGUCGGCCUGCGCGGAAGAUGUAACGGGGCUAAACCAUGCACCGAAGCUGCGGCAGCGACGCUGAUGCGUUGUUGGGUA